AACACAAGCCGGCAUGAUGACGUGAAUGGACACACAGCAAGUAAGUGGAGGGAUGAAUAUCUAUGUGAAUGAAUAUUUAAAUUAGUCUAUAGAGCUCCAAGUGUGCACCCUUGGUUACCCUAUCCAACAGAGAAGGGAGGAGGAAAAGUAGCGCUGUUUAGUGGGGAAUUCCCGACGCUGGCAGGGAGGGAAAUGUUGGCGUGUCUGCAGGUAUAUGUGGCUCCAUGUGCUACCCGCAGUCAAUGAGGACGCCGCUCCGUCACACCCCCUAAACGCUGAAAUUGUGAUAAUAUUUCUAAUGUUUAAAUAGUAGUGAUAUUUCCACAUUCAUUGACCAUUUUUAGCAGGGACUGAUGUGAAAUGGAAAACAAGUCAUGAUUACAAAUUCUGUUUGGAAAUCAUAAAUUCUGCUUCCCCAAACCAGACUUUGGCUUAAAUUUAAUUGUUUACAUAUAUAUCUAACUUAAAUCCAGUUGAACAGUAGAUUCGGGGGCCAAUAAUGCCAACUGAGAAAAUUACUGAAUGUCUCUCAUGAGUUGCUGUUGCAGAUAUAGAGAUACCCAUUAGUGAACUACGCCACCAAUUGCAUGUCUGUAUAAAAUGCAGGGUAUGCAGCUAUUGCUUUGAGUGUCAUGUCAUGAGGUUAGUCAAACUGCAUGUGAAGUGAAUCUGUCUGAGCCUGCAAACAGUUUUUAAUUGGUUUGAAAACAGACAGUACGCGUUAGGUGUGUCACCUGCCCACGGGUCAGAACAAACCCAGAGAAACAUGGUUGUUGCACGAAGACUUUAUGACUCCGCUGCAACACAUCUCUGUGGUUACUUUUAUCACACACUGCAAAAUCUUAAGAUUUGAAAGGUAAAUUUUUUUCAGCAUCAGCCAUGAAUAUUUGUUGAUUUGAAGAGUGAUUUUUAACUUGUUUUGUUACCAGGCCUGUGGUAUUGCCAUCACAUGUUUCAGCCUGGUGUGCCAUGUGUGAUUUUCAGAACAGGUUGUACUGCUCCGCAUCAAACCUGGACCAGACAUGUUCAUGAAUCAGUGUUUAGCAGCAACAUAUUUUCCAUACAGUUGUCAUGGUAAUGUGAUUACUUUAAAACAUGUUGUGCUGGGGAUCGUAUUAAAAUCACAGUCUUGUUUGCUGUCUUAGCAGCGGUGUGUUGGGGACCUAAUAUUAGUUACGCUCUGUGUACAAAGCAUAGUGACCAAAAAUUGAAGAAAGGUGAAAGAAAAAAGGAGAAAUGCAUCUUCCUCACAACAGUUUUCUUUGCAUGUUUCUCUGCAGGCAGAUUUGGAGUCAUUGUAACAUAGGCUCAAAAUUCCCAACACAACUAUAAUCCUAUAGUUAUAUCUUUAUGGACUUGGACAUGGUUGCAUGUACUCAGACUGGGAAGAUGAUAAAAAGGAUUUAGAUUAAUUUGUACUUUUUUAUUAUCUGUGUAGUUUCUCAUUCAUCCAGGUCAUGGUUAUCCAACUAGACUUUUUUGAGGUUAUUGAAUACGUUUCACCUCUCCUCCAAAAGGCGUCUUCAGUUCAAAGUAUCUGGGGCCAAUGUUCGAGACUUGUAGCCUCUGUUGGUCUUCCAGCUGUAAAAGGGGUGGGUGGUCACCUGAGAGUCGUUAGCAGGAUUGGUGACCUGGUUUCACCUGGGGGGUGCCCUCCUAGGUUUCCUUAGGUUCGCCUUUCUUGCAUGAUGUUGGAGCCUGUAAUCUAGCAUGAAAGGGUUGUUAUCAAAAGGAACCCAAAGCUGAAUUGUUAGUGGGGGAUAAGAAGUGCCUUUGUCCGCUGCCUCUGUUCAAGGUUGUUUUCUGUAGUUUGAUAAAGACGGCUUCCUUGACACCUCUUUAAACCAGCGGUCUUCCCCGGCCAGUAUCCUAACAUCCCUGUCCUCAAAGGAAUGCCCCGUAUUCUUCAGAUGUAGGUGAACAGCUGAGUCCUGACCAGAGGACUUAGCUUUCGCAGUGUGUUGGUGUGUUUGAAGUGUACUGGCAUGUUGUGUUUCUGGAUACCCUCGACAAGUAGGGAAUAACAAUGCUGUGCCGCUUGUUGUUCUCUUCUUCCCUGUUGGUCUCCAGCUUCUUAGAAGACUUGACAAAGGCCCACUUGGGGUACUCGCGUGUUUUCAGGGCUUCCCUGAGGUGUUGGUCUUAGUUGGUAUCUUCUCAGCCCUGUGUUGAAGAGUUCUGAUGACGCCCAAUGGUGAGAAUCAGAUAGUAGAUCCUGGUCUGUGUGGGUAACUUUUCUGUGAACUUCUAAGCUGCACAAUCCAGGAACUUAAGAGAAGAACAGCUGCUUCUUUAUGAAUCCUCAGAUAAUGGGGACUCAACUAGGACACAAUUCCUCUUUUUUUUGUGAUUUGGUCUUGACUUAAACUUAAACGCUGGAGACUUGAGGUUUGGUGUCUUCAAAGAAAGGUCAUGGUUUGUUAGGUUUAAGGAAAGGUCAAAGUUUGGGCUUCAAGAUGUGACUUUCAUACAAAUGUUGGGUUUGGUACAUGACGAAAGGUAAAGUAAGAGUAAGUCUCGAUAAGCAACACAGAUUGUUGUUUCUAAUGGGAUUCAGACAGCAGUUUCUGAGGUUAAAGUUGUGAGAUGAGACCUGUUGUUCUUAAAACCAUUCAAAGUGCAAUUAUUUUCAUUGAGUGAGGCCAGGCUGCACGAUUAAAAACAAUGCAAUCCAAAAGCUAGAAAUGUAACAAAAAGAAUGAAAAAUGAGUCUGUACAGGGGGAGCUAAGGUAAGAAAGUAAAAGCCUGCAAGGUAGCAGACUCAGGGUCAUGUGCUGCAACAGUAAACAAUUGUUGAGGGCUAAAUUUGAUCUCUUUUCUUUUCAAUCAAUGCUCUCAGUAUUCAGCUCACAAUUCUUGACUCCUCCAUCUCUCCAUCUCCUUACAGUCUUUCUCAUGUCUGUCAUUUCCUCUCUUUUGCCUUUGCACCACAUCUCUCAAUUAUAUUUAUUCAUGCAUGCCAAGAUAUACAGUGUGAAUAUUCUUAUUAGAUGCUGUUGUAGAGAUUCAUUUCUUUAUGGGGCAGUGAAUUGAUAUUCAUGACUGUGGAAGCGCGUUGUAAGGUGUGUAAUGAUGGCGGAGUCAUGUCCUACCGAAGAAGGCUUUGGAGGGAAUAAUAUUUGGUAUGUUUGCAUCAGCUGCAAUGAGCCUGAGUUGCGCGCCGAGGAUGACACCUUGACUCAGACGGAGGGAAAAAAAGGAAUAGAUUGCGUUUGUGUGACUCAUAGAGGUUUUUUUGAUCAUCAGACUCAUAUUUGACACAGAUCAGAAUUGUUGGCGCGGAAUUGAUUAGCUUUGAGUGAUGAAUAAUGAAUCAUCAAGAGGGCACAAAAGCUGUUGCAGCAUUUUAAAGACUUUAAAGUCACAAAUUGAUUAAAUAAUAUCUAAUUAGGGACAUUUGUAUGCUGAGGGAUGGGAUUACAAUGCCGUAUAAAAAAAAGAAAAGAAAAUGGAGACAGAGGGGGAAGAAAAACAGACAGGAGAAAUGAAAUGUAUGCCUGCAAGAGUGACAUUAUGAUUGCCUUAUUUAUGACAGCCAAGAAAUAAAUCAGGGAAUACUUGUAAUUCUAACCUCAGCUGACUUUGAAGUAACUUUUGAAACAUCAGAUUUUUUACCUCAAAUGCUUAUACACCAACAAUGGAUGCCAAAAACUGAGACAAUGAGACAAUAAAUGUGACAAGAGCUGUUUUAAUUUUGCAGAAAUUAGGGAAAAAUAGCUGAUGGCAGUAGAAAAAAAGAGUCUAUUGUCACCAUACGUCUUAUCUCUGCAGGGAUUUCCCCUUAACAGCAGAGCGGUAAUGAGAAGAGGAAAUUGAGGAGUCUGAAACAACGAUCUUGUAAUGAUAAAAGUAAAGUGCUGUAUUUCAGAGUGACAAACACUUUGUAUUUUAUUUAAGGUCUACAACAUCUUAGUGACAGUAAUAUAUUUUUUUACUUUUCCCAUUACCAGCUUUGUUUGUUUAAUUCCUUCAAAACAAGAGACAAAAUGUGAAAUAGUUUACAAAGAUUUACUUGUCUGACAUUACUUGUGCUGUUAAAUUCCUACAAAGCACCGUGCUGUACUAAAAUGGUUGGAUUAGAACAGGGGAAAUAGUGGUUUCAGGUAAAAUGCAAGACAUCUGGGGGUGUAUUCGUGGCUGCUGUGCUGGUGCAAAGGUGAAGGCAAAGUUGAAGGUUAGGAAAUGGAGAUAUAAACCCUUUCUUCCAUCAGUCAUCAUGGGAAACGUCAACUCUCUGCCCAACAAAAGAGAUGAGUUGGAGAUGGUGAACGCUGAGAAAGCAUACUGAGAGUGCAGUCUCUUGUGUUUUACUGAAACUUGGUUGAAUCAAAACAACUCGGACUCCAGUGUGGAUCUACCUGGCUUCACUCUCAUAAGGUCAGACAGAGAUGCUAAAGCUAGUGGAAAGAAGAAAGGAGGAGGUCUGGCUUUAUUUGUCAACCAGAGAUGGUGUAACCCUUCACACAUACUGUAAGGAGAAGUUGUGUUGUCCAGAUACUGAACUGUUGGCAGUUGCUCUUUAGGGAGUUCAGUCAUACAAUAACAAUACUUGUAUGUAUUCUCCAUGAUUCUGUUGCUAGGAUACAGACUCAACACCCUGAGGCACUAAUGCUACAUUCCAGUUACCUCGGAAGUCGGAGCUGGGAAUGACGUUACACCCGAGUUGACGGCGUUCCAGUAAACAAGUCGAAAAACCAAGAUGGACGCCCACUGUUAGCCGUUGUUAGCCAUUGUUUACAAUUGUUAGCUGUCUUUAGCCGUUGUCAGCUGCUGUUAGUUGUUGUUAGCUGUACCUAACUCUACAAACACCAUAGCACCGUGUUCACAGUUAGACGUUGGGCAUAACUUUUGAACUUUGUACCAUAUUAACAAAUCACUCAUACAGUGUGAUGCAGGUUUUAAAUGUGCGACAGCAAUGAUGGCGUCCAAUGAGAUGGCAAGUAGUGUCAAAAGUGUUUUCUUUUGUUGUGAUAACCACUGAGCUCACAGCGAACGUAAGGCACAAAAGCUACUGGAACUUUAAUUCUUGCGCUAUUUCUGUUCCCCAUUUGUGCCUCUACUGAUCUGCACCUUUUCCUGCUCAGUUUGUGUCGAUGUGUAGACUGUAAACCAGAUUGUUUCCUUAUAAGACUAAUCCCUAAAACUGUUAUAUUACCCAAAACACUCCUGAUAUGGAAAACAAGUACAUAAACAGAGCUAAAAAUUCAUGUUCACACAUAAUUUUACUGAUCAGGUAACAUUAGGUUACGUCUGACGUACUCCAAGUAUUUCCUCCUCUGUGUGUGUGUGUGUGUGUGUUACCGGAACUUUAUAUGUAAAUUAACAACCUGUUACUUUAUUUUGAUGUAAUGAGAUUGUCAGGCCCUGCCUCCCUAAGUCCCCGGACCAUUAAAAAGUACUACCACCUGAGCGGGGGGGGGAGUUUCAGUGCGUACAUUUUCAACCCCAGAACUAAAUUUAGACCUGAGUUCCUUGAAGCACCGUUACUUGAUCCAGCCCAUUCAAGGAUCAUCUGUUUAAGGCUGUGUGUUUGCAGACAUCCUUUUGAUAUAAUACAGUAUUUUGACAGGAUUCAUUUCUUUUAUGUUUUUUUUUUUUUAUUAAGAGGAAUGAUUGAACUGCAUCACUGUGGAUGUCAGCAGAGGCACCGUGACUCUGUCAGUCAUCAUCAUAUCCACUGGGGGGACCAACCACUCCAGGCUGGACCCACAUACAGUAAAUCUGAACAUAUGCUCACAUUCCUCUCUUGUCUCUUGGUGUUUUCUUUCAGAGGCAGAAGGAGGUGAUGCUGGCCAGAGCUGUCCUGCAACAACAUCUGGAACAGUGUCAGUUCUCGCUGUCUGUGUCUGCUGUUCCCUGGCGCUUUUCUUCAAAACUCACCCAGAUUUUUUGACAGCAUGAUGAUUUCUUCUUCUUCUUCUUCUUCUACUUGGUGUUGAAAGUGCAGACAGCUUCCCCCAAGCUUGUGGAAAGAAGGAAUUGGGGUAUUUCUGCAGUUAACAAGCAGGGUAAGACAAUGUAUCUGGUUAACAAAUCUCUUUAAAUUCACGUUUUGAUUUUAGGAUUUGAACCACCUGAAAAUAUGAGCAAAAUGAAGGGACAGAUACAACAAGUUAAAGUUAAAAAAAAAAAGGUAGAUGAGUGAGGAGAGAAAAGAUGGACAUAAACUGAAAUUAUCCUAGCUGCUAUGGGGACUAAAAAAAAAAACACACAUUCCCUCUUUGGUUGGAAAAACUGAGGGAAAAACACAGCUCUUCACUUCGUGAAGAAUAGAUUGUCAUUAUGACUACCAGCCGCCGCACAGCGACACCAUAGUGACAGCUCCAAGAUUGGAAAUAUGAUUGGCUAAUCCUGCAGGAUGAGAUGAAAUACUGUGCCUUUCUGAAGACCAAGGUAAACUUUGUUGAGGACGGGGAGUUAAUUGAAGUGUCACUCCACUCCCGAUUUGAAUGACGUCUUGGACAAAUGAGAAUCACUGUUCCUGCUCUCCCCUCGCUCCCCCUGCUCUGCAUAAAUCUCUGUUUGGAGGUCACCGACUCUGGAAACAGCAUCCGGUCAGUUAGUUCACACCAAUAUCUUCGUCACUCUCAGGCAUAAAAUGGUAGCUGGGCUUUAUCUGCUGCCAGAAGGCUUGACUGACACGCAUAUUAGCUCCUUUCUCCCAAGGCUCUGAAAACACAUCAUAUUUUCCACAACUUUCAUUUUCUCUAUUCAGAUUGCGGCCACAUCGAGGUGUCUUUGUUGCAUACUAAUUGUGCCAGGCUCACCUCAGAGAACAAGGCAGACAUCUAUAUAUGCAAGGAACUGACUAUUUUUCACUGCCUCUGUCGCAAUAAAAAGUGGCACCCAAGACAGGUUGCAGAGUAGCUAAGAUUGGGCGUCAUCCGUGGAGAACUGAUGUAGAUCAAAACAUGGACAAAAAAACAGAUUGUUUUGGGACAAAAGGUCUAUGUAGCAAUAUAAACACAUUCUCUCUUUCUCUGAAACUGCCACUUUUUGCUCCUCUCAGCCUCUUUUGAUAGUCUUUUUCCCUACUGUUGUUUCCCCACUUUCUUUCUACAACUCUAAUUUAACAGAAAUCACAUUUUUCCCCUCAUUUAAAUGACAAAAAAGAGGCCUCUUGUUUUCCCUGUCUAAUUCGACUCCCAUCUUGUGCUCUCCUGUAUUCGAUGUGUUCUGUCUGAGAGAAAGAUGAUGGUACCCAAAAAAUAUUAGACUUCUGAGGUGAAAUAAUCCCAGGUUUCUGUUGUAUGUAUUAUAACUUUACAGAUAGAAUAUGGUGAACAAUAACCCACUGAAGUCCAACGAUUACCUGCUAACGCAACAGCGUUUGCUCUUUUCAGGAGUUCCCAUUGGUUGCUUUGUCCGUUUUAUGCAGGUGCUUUCUGAAACUAUUGUUCCCUGCACUGGUUGGAGGCAAAUGAAAGAAUUUUUAAAAAACUUUGCCCUUAAUUUUAAAGAUCUGAAUUUUGUUUAUAAUGAGGCUUUUCAGCAAAGUGACAAGCCUUUUAAUUGCUGGUAUUUGAGACUAGGGGUGGGAAUCACCAGUGGCCCUGCAAUACCAUAUUAUCACGAUACUUGGGCCACGAUACGAUAUUAUUGCGAUUUUUAACAUUUCGCGAUACAGUGAGUAUUGCGAUACCAUAUAUUGAGAUUUAUACAAUUUUUUCAACUGUUUAGCCAAUUUAGCAUUUGGCUUUCCUUUAUGUUUGUCUUAUUUACACUCCUAAUGUCUUUCCCCAGGUGCUGCUAUAUUUGUUGAACCAACUUUCUCCUGCUCUUAAUGUCACCUCUGUCAACCUCAUUGGACAAACAGUUGAUUUUUUUCCAUUAUCAUAGAUUUGAUGUCAUAUUCACAAUUAAUUUAAAAAAAUUGAUACUUGGUAUUGAGACGAUCCGAUAUAUCACCAGACAAAAUAUCGCGAUACUAUGCUGUAUCGAUUUUUCCUCCCACCCCUAUUUGAUACUGCGGUUGUGUAGAACAGCUUGUGCACAAGUUUUGUCUCAGAGUUCAUAUUAUUUCAUUGCACUUAAUGAAACUGUUCGAGCUUCCUUCAUUCAAAGAUGUCUGAAUCAGCCGAGCAACAAAUUUCAAAGAGAGCAACACUUUGUACAUCACACAGCACAAUAAGCCAAAUCAGUUUUAGAAAACAUGAUCUAUUAUUUUUUAAUUAGCUGGGCAAGCACUAAUGGAAAGUAAUAAUAGUUUUUUAAACAUGUUUUAUUUUCAAAAGGAGGUUUCAAUAGGCUUUAGUUUUGUACUCCAUAGUUAACGGCUAAAAUGAAGAGCAGACGUGGAGGCACAGGCUGCUUCAAGAACAUUUUGUUUGGACAACAAGAAUUAUUAAAGAUGGGACUCUAGUGGUUGAGAGGAUGCAUUUUCUCUGUUUCUCAUGUCUCUAUUAUAUCUAUGGGCCUUUGCUUUGUAUGUAUGGAGAAAAGCUCAAGGAGAACGGGCCCCUCACCGAAAGAAAAUGCAGAAAAAAGAAAGGGGGGAAAAAAAUGGGAAGGUCUUUGGAAACCCUGUUUUGAUGCUCAUUUCAUGGAUGCCGUGUGUGUGAGAGACAGAGAGAGAGAGAAGGCCAUGUAUUUGGGAUGAAAUGAGUAACAUGUUGUGUCUUGUGUGUGUGUGUGUGGCUUAGGAUGGCAUGAGUAACCUGAUGAUGUGUGUUGGAGCCAGAGGACGCAUGAGUCGCACUGGAGGACAGAGGAAACAGCAGCUGCCGUGGCACGAUCACAGACAUGCAUACAAAGAAAGCUCAAUGAGGAAACCCAGGCUAGUAAACAUGCACUCCUCUUAUUUAAAGGACAGUUGUCAAUAUUUAUACAAUGUUUCUUUAAUUUUUUAUGAUUUCAUUUAUGCAUUUAAGAGUUUUGCUCCAUAUGGGAACCAUUUACAGGCAACAAAUAACAUAAAAUACUAUCAUAUUAUAUAGCGUGUCCUUGAAACGAUCUUAAAGGUGAGUUUGAAACAAACAAGAAAAUCCCAGUACAGUGUGUCUUUGAUAGUAAUUUGGUGGUUUAAUAUCUACCUAAAGGGAAAAGAGGAAACCCUGCCUCAUAGCUGACAAUGUAAACGAGAUUGUUUUUAUAUCCUCUGCAAUAAAAGGGCGAGAGGUGGAGAAACACUGAUCAAAUAAACAUAAAGGUGAAUAAUUCUCCAUCCUCAAAAUGCUG
rnacentral:lncRNA from 1 species